UACGGGGGGGGGCAAGCGUUUGUUCGGAAUUACUGGGCGUAAAGGGCUCGUAGGCGGCCAACUAAGUCGGAUGUGAAAUCCCCAGGCUCAACCUGGGAACUGCAUCCGAUGCUGGAUGGCUUGAAUUCGGGAGAGGGAUGCAGAAUUCCAGGUGUAGCGGUGAAAUGCGUAGAUAUCUGGAGGAAUACCGGUGGCGAAGGCGGCAUCCUGGACCGACAUUGACGCUGAGGAGCGAAAGCUAGGGGAGCAAACGGG
rnacentral:rRNA from 1 species